CCUACGGGAGGCAGCAGUGGGGAAUUUUGGACAAUGGGCGCAAGCCUGAUCCAGCAAUGCCGCGUGAGUGAAGAAGGCCUUCGGGUUGUAAAGCUCUUUUGUCAGGGAAGAAACGGCUGAGGUUAAUACCUUUGGCUAAUGACGGUACCUGAAGAAUAAGCACCGGCUAACUACGUGCCAGCAGCCGCGGUAAUACGUAGGGUGCAAGCGUUAAUCGGAAUUACUGGGCGUAAAGCGUGCGCAGGCGGUUUUGUAAGUCUGACGUGAAAUCCCCGGGCUCAACCUGGGAAUUGCGUUGGAGACUGCAAGGCUGGAGUCUGGCAGAGGGGGGUAGAAUUCCACGUGUAGCAGUGAAAUGCGUAGAGAUGUGGAGGAACACCGAUGGCGAAGGCAGCCCCCUGGGUCAAGACUGACGCUCAUGCACGAAAGCGUGGGGAGCAAACAGGAUUAGAUACCCUGGUAGUCCACGCCCUAAACGAUGUCUACUAGUUGUCGGGUCUUAAUUGACUUGGUAACGCAGCUAACGCGUGAAGUAGACCGCCGUGGGGAGUACGGUCGCAAGAUUAAAACUCAAAGGAAUUGACGG
rnacentral:rRNA from 1 species